rnacentral:rRNA from 1 species
UACGGGGGGGGGCAAGCGUUGUUCGGAAUUACUGGGCGUAAAGGGCUCGUAGGCGGCCAACUAAGUCAGACGUGAAAUCCCUCGGCUUAACCAGGGAACUGCGUCUGAUACUGGAUGGCUUGAAUCCGGGAGAGGGAUGCGGAAUUCCAGGUGUAGCGGUGAAAUGCGUAGAUAUCUGGAGGAACACCGGUGGCGAAGGCGGCAUCCUGGACCGGCAUUGACGCUGAGGAGCGAAAGCCAGGGGAGCAAACGGG